GAGCCGCGCCGUCUCGUGCCUCUGCUGCCCCUGCAAGUGCCUGGCCUGCGGGCUCUUCAGCUGCCUGUGCAGCAUCCUCAUCUCCCUCCUCGUCUUCGCCGGCGUCCUCGUCCUCAUCCUCUACCUCAUCUUCCGCCCCCACAUGAUCGCCGCCACCGUCGACUCCGCCUCCCUCGCCACCUUCACCCUCUCGCCCACCUCCUCCCUCGCCUACAACCUCACCGUCGGCAUCACCGUCCGCAACCCCAACAAGCGGGUCGGCCUCUACUACGACAACGUCGAGGCCCUCGCGCUCUACAAGGACCAGCGCUUCGGAUAC
rnacentral:lncRNA from 1 species